CUAUCCACCAAUUCCCAUCCUCCUCGAGCCCCGUCUUCUUCCUCCUCCAUACUCGCUCCCCUCGUGCCGCCUCUCCACAACCCUCCCGUCUCAUUGCCAGCCAUCUCUGCCCGCGUCCCUCCUUAGUGUCCUCCAGCUAGGGUUGCAGCGGCUGGGUGGUGAUGAGCGGCAGGCCUGCACGCUCAAGUGGGGCAAACGCGCCGCCAUCGGCAGCGGCCACCGGCUCCUCUCCUCUCUACCUCCAACGGUCUCGCCAUGGUUGCUUGCUCCCUCUCUUUCUCUCUCCCCCGCCGCCACGGCUGCUUUGCCGCCUUCCACUUCUUCGCCAUCGACUCGGCCGUCAGCGUGCGCCUCCAUCCGCCCACCUUAGUCGCCCCCUCCCCCACCCCCCACAUCUCGUCCGCCCCGCCAUGGCCUUCGCCCUCGCUCUCCAUCGACCUUCCCGAGCUCUCCCUCUCCGGGGUCGCACCUGCCAUCCAGGAUCUGGAGGAGGAAGAGGAAACAUCCGAGCAGGUGGCUUCCCCAACUCUCUUUCCAUCGGUUUGCACCUACGUGCGGCUGAUCUGCUGCCAGGAUCUCCGGCCUUGUUGGCAGCGGCCUUAACUGUAGCACCCAUGGCUCAACCUCGACGAACGACCUACUGACUGGUCUGACCUGACGAGCCUGCAACUUCUUUGACCAGUGCUAGGAUUGAAAUAUAUCAGUGGGUUAGAGCACAAGCCAGUGAUGCCAUCGGGAUGUGGUGGAGCUUCCCAUCAGGGGGAAGAGGUCGGCGACCGGGAUCGUUGCCAGUGAGGAGGCAGGCUGCUCGCUUCUUCACGGCUAGGAUUUGGGUGAAAGGAGGCCACAUCAGGGGAGAAGUGGCCGGGGUCGGAACACCCACAUGUGAAGGUUGUUCUAAAUUCUGAAGAAUGUUUUGAACUUCUAUCACUGAUUGCCAUAGCCUCCGAAGACGAGGCAAAGAAUGUUUGGUGAGACUGGAGUUAUGGACAUGCUCUUCAGUCAAAUCUCCAACUUCCCAGAUGGUACUAAAAUUUUCUGUCCAGACUGUUGCUUGCUUAAGAAUUCCAUCUCCAUCUUCCUUCGUCCCACUGAGGAAUGUUUAGCAGUGACACUUGAUCCAACGUUUUAAGUUUGUGCACCUGGAUGUCUAACGGUUGCUUGUGUGCUCUGGUUUACCUAGGAUGAUUUGCGUAGUAUAUUGAAGCAGUGUCCAACUUAGAAGUAUUUAAAUAGGUUGGUUUGCGGAUUCCAUUAGGUAUGGCAGUCCAACAACACAUUAUAUUUUCCAGAGUUAGGUUGAAUUCCAAUGCAGUUGCUCGAUUUUUCAUUUGUUGCAUUAUCGAUUCUUGAAAAAAUGAUGAUAAAAUAAAAUGAAUCCUCAAUGUUGGGUCUGAUGAUCAGUACUUGUUGUCUAAAUGCACUACACGCGCAAUGAAGCGACGAAGUUGUUAAUUGUCCCUAUAUAUUCCUUAGUUGGAUCUCUAAUAAAUUAAGUUGUCACUUGUCAGUAGGUUCAGUAUAUCGUCGUCUGCUUAGACAAAAUAUAUCAUGGUCAAAGCAUACAAAUAUUAGUUCUUAGUAAAAAGAUGGAGGUUUCACAUACAUCAAUGCUUUCACCUCACUUGUCUGUUAUGAAUUUUUGUUUGUGUGUGAUUGCUAUAUCAGAAUUGGAUUAGCCCAUCCGAUGCCCACUAUUAUGAACUUUUUUUUGUGUGUGUGAUUGCUAUAUCAGAAUCGGAUUGGCCCAUCUGAUGCCCAGGUAUGCACUUAACUCCUAUCUCCUAAUUUUUUGAUUGUUAGAUAUGGAUUAAUCUUGACUGGGUUGUAGUUGUGAAUUUGUUCGACCCAUGCCGCUGCCAUACCUCUCCCUCGUUGCCAGCCCUACAUCUCCACUCAAGUACAACUCGCCACUCCCCUCAGCUCUCUGGUAUGGAUCGAAGGUGCGGAUAAACAACUGGACAGUGGUAAUGUACAAAUUUGUGAGCGUUCCGGGCAAAUGCGGGAGAGAAUGGAUGUGUAGUGUGGCUAUGUUCCUGCUUGACCAAGCUGAUGGAAGCAUAUUGAAGAUAUAUCUAUCAUAUUUUUUAUCUCCAAGAUUGGUUCUUUGGAUGGAGGUUUGGUAGGUUUGAGCAUCUGACUUAUAAUCUAGGUUCAUGGUGUUUGGCAUUAUUGGUUCGAUCCACAUGGAGGUCCUCGCCGUCAUUGCAGCUGCGGGACAAGACGGCAAGGAGUUUGUGCGCCUGCCUUACCUCUGUACAAAAUAAACUGCAGAUACAAAAAAUGAAAAAGCAGAGCACUCUCUCUAGAAGCAGGAAUGAUUAUACUUCAACCGACCAUGCUCAGCCUAGAAUAACACCACAACAUACAGUAGUAGUUAAGCAACAAAACCUAAGCACUUCCCGUCAUUGUUUGCUUUCUCAUGUUUUUGUUUGCUUCAUUGUGUUCCUAUUUACUUGCAUAUAGAAGUGAGCAAAGUCGAAGUGUUUUGGGUGUUACAAAAGAUUGUGAAUAUUUUUCCUUUAUAGCUCUUUUUUUAUUGACUUAGUUUUUAUGUAAUUUCAAAGCACUUCAGAUGUGUUAGGCUGCAGCAAGAGGCUGGAACAGAUCUUUGUGCUAUGACGAGUGUUUGCUUCAGUCAAUCCAAAAUACCUCUAAAACUACAGUUUCAUUUGUUUGUCCGGUGUACAUGAGAAGCUCCAAUUUUGUCGGCAAUAGCCACUGGAGAAAGUAGUGAUUGGGUUUAUAUGGGAUAGUUAUGUAUGUCCAUUGUGUGAUGGGAAAUACAAUGCAGUAGUUAAUUGUCACAUGGCUUCUCAAUAGUGGCUUCUUAGUAAAAAAGUUAUAUGAUGUAUGAUAGCCAUGAGUAUGAUGAUUUUUUGGAUGGGCGGUAAGCUUCCCAUAUUUGAUGUUUUUUUUUACUUUUUAAAAUUGAACGAUGCUGGUGAGAA